rnacentral:lncRNA from 1 species
AUGCAGCAGGUCAUCCCUCUGUACCUUCCCUUUCUGACCAUUUUCUUGACUUCCUUUCUGGCUUUCAUAUCCCACCUCACCACCAUCCGUGCUACAGAAGCAGCAUUGGGUGGCACAUGGGAUCUCUUUGAGACUCAGGAGUCACUUCAGCUUCCAGAUCAGAGGAAAAUGAAGACCAGCAAUCUCCCCCUGAAGAUGACACUCAUUGACAGAGACUACAAUCUAAUGGAGACCGUCAACCCUAUAGAAGAUUCCAGAGUCAAGAUUAGUACACAGAUGAGGAAGACCAACACUCCAAAAGAUAGCGAACUCAAUCAAGUCAAGCAAAGCAGGAAUUAAGAAUAUGCAUAAGUAGAUUUUUCCAAUAGAUGGGUGGGGAUAGAGCAGUCACAAACCAACCAACUAGAUGUCAUGGAGAUUUAAACUUGGUCCUUGUAAUAAAAAACUGAAUAAGCAGAUGAAACA